rnacentral:rRNA from 1 species
CGUCGGGAAAUCCACUCGCCUAACGAGUGGGCGUCCGGCGGAAACUACAGGGCUUGGGACCGGAAGACUUGAGGGGUACGUCUGGGGUAGGAGUGAAAUCCUGUAAUCCUGGACGGACCGCCGAUGGCGAAAGCACCUCAAGACGACGGAUCCGACAGUGAGGGACGAAAGCUAGGGUCUCGAACCGGAUUAGAUACCCG